rnacentral:rRNA from 1 species
UGGGGAAUUUUGGACAAUGGGGAAACCCUGAUCCAGCCAUCCCGCGUGUGCGAUGAAGGCCUUCGGGUUGUAAAGCACUUUUGGCAGGAAAGAAACGUCGCGGGUUAAUACCCCGCGAAACUGACGGUACCUGCAGAAUAAGCACCGGCUAACUACGUGCCAGCAGCCGCGGUAAUACGUAGGGUGCAAGCGUUAAUCGGAAUUACUGGGCGUAAAGCGUGCGCAGGCGGUUCGGAAAGAAAGAUGUGAAAUCCCAGAGCUUAACUUUGGAACUGCAUUUUUAACUACCGGGCUAGAGUGUGUCAGAGGGAGGUGGAAUUCCGCGUGUAGCAGUGAAAUGCGUAGAUAUGCGGAGGAACACCGAUGGCGAAGGCAGCCUCCUGGGAUAACACUGACGCUCAUGCACGAAAGCGUGGGGAGCAAACAGGAUUAGAUACCCUGGUAGUCCACGCCCUAAACGAUGUCACUAGCUGUUGGGGCCUUCGGCCUUGGUAGCGCAGCUAACGCGUGAAGUUGACCGCCUGGGGAGUACGGUCGCAAGAUU